CCUACGGGAGGCAGCAGGGAGGAAUAUUGGUCAAUGGGCGCGAGCCUGAACCAGCCAAGUCGCGGGAGGGAUGAAGGUGCUAUGGAUCGUAAACCUCUUUUAUAAGGGAAUAAAGUGUGGGACGUGUCCGAUUUUGUAUGUACCUUAUGAAUAAGGAUCGGCUAACUCCGUGCCAGCAGCCGCGGUAAUACGGAGGAGCCGAGCGUUAUCCGGAUUGAUUGGGUUUAAAGGGUGCGUAGGCGGCCUUUUAAGUCAGCGGUGAAAGUCUGUGGCUCAACCAUAGAAUUGCCGUUGAAACUGGGGGUCUUGAGUAUGUUUGAGGCAGGCGGAAUGCUUGGUGUAGCGGUGAAAUGCUUAGUUAUCACGCAGAACCCCGAUUGCGAAGGCAGCCUGCCAAGCCAUGACUGACGCUGAUGCACGAAAGCGUGGGGAUCCAACAGGAUUAGCUACCCGUGUAGUC
rnacentral:rRNA from 1 species